rnacentral:rRNA from 1 species
ACGCGGGACUCUAAGAGGCCCCGUAAUUGGAAUGAGUACACCUUAGAUCGUUUAACGAGUAUCAAUUGGAGGGCAAGUCUGGUGCCAGCAGCCGCGGUAAUUCCAGCUCCAAUAGCGUAUAUUAAAGUUGCUGCAGUUAAAAAGCUCGUAGUUGGAUCUGGGGCUUGAGGUCGCUGUCUAUCGUUUCGGCGAUGACGGUGAUGCUCAGCUCUGCUUGCCGGUGACUGUUGCGGUGUUCUUCACUGAGCGCUGUAGCAGCACGGCACGUUUACUUUGAAAAAAUUAGAGUGCUCAAAGCGUGCUUGUCGCUUGAAUAAUGUUGCAUGGAAUAAUGGAAUAGGACCUCGGUUCUAUUUUGUUGGUUUUCGGAGCUUGAGGUAAUGAUUAAGAGGGACGAACGGGGGCAUUCGUAUUGCGGUGUUAGAGGUGAAAUUCUUGGAUCGCCGCAAGACGGACUACUGCGAAAGCAUUUGCCAAGAACGCUUUCAUUAAUUAAGAACGAAAGUCAGAGGUUCGAAGACGAUCAGACACCGUCCUAGUUCUGACCAUAAACGAUGCCGACCAGCGAUCCGUAGUGGUUGCUUUAUGGACCCUACGGGCAGCCUCCGGGAAACCAAAGUAUUUGGGUUCCGGGGGAAGUAUGGUUGCAAAGCUGAAACUUAAAGGAAUUGACGGAAGGGCACACCAGGAGUGGAGCCUGCGGCUUAAUUUGACCCAACACGGGAAAACUCACCCGGUCCGGACACCGUAAGGAUUGACAGACUGAUAGCUCUUUCUUGAUUCGGUGGAUGGUGGUGCAUGGCCGUUCUUAGUUGGUGGAGUGAUUUGUCUGGUUAAUUCCGAUAACGAACGAGACUCUAGCCUGCUAAGUAGUGUUGCUAUUGUUAUAUGGUUGACACUUCUUAGAGGGACAAGUGGCAUUUAGCCACGCGAAAUUGAGCAAUAACAGGUCUGUGAUGCCCUUAGAUGUCCGGGGCCGCACGCGCGCUACACUGGAGAAGUCAGCGUGUGUUAUCCAAGUCCGAAAGGACUGGGUAAUCCGUUGAACCUUCUUCGUGCUUGGGACUGUGGCUUGGAACUAUUCCACAUGAACGAGGAAUUCCUAGUAAUUGCAAGUCAUAAGCUUGCGUUGAUUACGUCCCUGCCCUUUGUACACACCGCCCGUCGCUACUACCGAUUGAAUGGUUUAGCAAGGUCCUCGGAUCGUGGCCGUAGGGGCACGCAAGUGUUUCUGCGGUUUGCGAGAAGACGACCAAACUUGAUCAUUUAGA